rnacentral:rRNA from 1 species
UACGUAGGGUGCAAGCGUUGUCCGGAAUUAUUGGGCGUAAAGAGCUCGUAGGCGGUUUGUCGCGUCUGCCGUGAAAGUCCGGGGCUCAACUCCGGAUCUGCGGUGGGUACGGGCAGACUAGAGUGAUGUAGGGGAGACUGGAAUUCCCGGUGUAGCGGUGGAAUGCGUAGAGAUCGGGAAGAACAUCGGUGGCGAAGGCGGUCUGCUGGGCCGUUGCUGACGCUGAGGCGCGACAGCGUGGGGAGCAAACAGG